rnacentral:rRNA from 1 species
AACGCGAAGAACCUUACCUGGCCUUGACAUGCAAGUAGUAGAAGGAUGAAAGUCUGACGAUCCCGCAAGGGAAGCUUGCACAGGUGCUGCAUGGCUGUCGUCAGCUCGUGUUGUGAAAUGUUGGGUUAAGUCCCGCAACGAGCGCAACCCUUAUCCUUUGUUGCCAGCGCGUAAUGGCGGGAACUCAAAGGAGACUGCCGGUGAUAAACCGGAGGAAGGUGGGGAUGACGUCAAGUCAUCAUGGCCCUUACGAGUAGGGCUACACACGUGCUACAAUGGCAUAUACAAAGAGAAGCGAACUCGCGAGAGCAAGCGGACCUCAUAAAGUAUGUCGUAGUCCGGAUUGGAGUCUGCAACUCGACUCCAUGAAGUCGGAAUCGCUAGUAAUCGUAGAUCAGAAUGCUACGGUGAAUACGUUCCCGGGCCUUGUACACACCGCGCAUA